CGGUCCUAAGGUAGCGAAAUUCCUUGUCGGGUAAGUUCCGACCUGCACGAAUGGCAUAAUGAUGGCCAGGCUGUCUCCACCCGAGACUCAGUGAAAUUGAAAUCGCCGUGAAGAUGCGGUGUACCCGCGGCUAGACGGAAAGACCCCGUGAACCUUUACUAUAGCUUGACACUGAACAUUGAAUUUUGAUGUGUAGGAUAGGUGGGAGACUUUGAAGUAGUCACGCCAGUGAUUAUGGAGUCGUCCUUGAAAUACCACCCUUUAACGUUUGAUGUUCUAACGAAGAUUGCGAAACGUGGUCUCGGACAGUGUCUGGUGGGUAGUUUGACUGGGGCGGUCUCCUCCCAAAGAGUAACGGAGGAGCACGAAGGUUUGCUAAUCACGGUCGGACAUCGUGAGGUUAGUGCAAUGGUAUAAGCAAGCUUAACUGCGAGACAGACAAGUCGAGCAGGUACGAAAGUAGGUCAUAGUGAUCCGGUGGUUCUGAAUGGAAGGGCCAUCGCUCAACGGAUAAAAGGUACUCCGGGGAUAACAGGCUGAUUCCUCCCAAGAGUCCAUAUCGACGGAGGAGUUUGGCACCUCGAUGUCGGCUCAUCACAUCCUGGGGCUGUAGCAGGUCCCAAGGGUAUGGCUGUUCGCCAUUUAAAGUGGUACGCGAGCUGGGUUCAGAACGUCGUGAGACAGUUCGGUCCCUAUCUGCCGUGGGCGUUGGAGAUUUGAGGGAAGCUGUUCUUAGUACGAGAGGACCGGAAUGGACGAACCUCUGGUGUACCGGUUGUCACGCCAGUGGCACAGCCGGGUAGCUAUGUUCGGAAGGGAUAACCGCUGAAAGCAUCUAAGCGGGAAGCCCCUCCCAAGAUAAGAUCUCCCUAGACCUUUAAGGUCUCUAAAGAUCCGUUGAAGACUACGACGUUGAUAGGCUCCAUGUGGAAGUGUAGUAAUACAUGCAGCUAAGGAGUACUAAUUGAUCGUGAGGCUUGAUCAU
rnacentral:rRNA from 1 species